rnacentral:lncRNA from 1 species
GUGUGUGUUCUUCAAAUCCAGCGAUUUUAAGGUAAUAUAAAUGGCUUCCAAGCGGAAAGCAGACUCGCCUUAUACUGUUUCGAUGGCAUUGGUCAAGAAAUUCAAUAAAAUGAUUAUGCAUAACUAACGUUAAACCCCUUUUGGAACGUCUUUUUUAACCAGUAUUUCUAACAACUACUAGUAUUUAGUAUUUUACACAAAAUAUUUCGCUUAUUAACUGAAAGGUUCUCGAUUUCAACAUGUUAUAACACUUCUUUAAUCAGUCCUAGGAAUAUGAGAAACACUUUCAACUAUACUUUUAUUUGAACAUAUACUGAGUUAAUUUGCAGUGAAAUAUUUUGUAUCGCGUUCUGUUCAUGGUUACCACUAUUAACAUCACACAAAGCAAUAUACACAUUUUCUGUUAUUGGAAAGAAGCUUAGACAUUUUCGGGAGCUGUUAUUAGAUCAUCGAAUCAAUGUUACUGGUACAUACUUUACUGACGACAGAGAAAGGUUAAAAAUUCUGACAGGCUUUACUUGGAUUUGAAAUCAGAAAGCCAUUCCUAUUACUGGUUCGUUAGCUCUUGUUUCGAGCAAAACGCUGAAUUUGUAAUGAGUAAAGGGCUGGUUUCUAGUAAAAUAUUGCUAUGCUACUAUUAAUUAAUUUUCUUACUAACUUCGCGUGUUUAAAAUUUUAAUCUAGAUCGGUGACAGAUGAGCUGAGAUGAAAGAAACAGGAUGCUGCAGCGCAUUUAGUCAGGUGUUUAAACUUUUCUGUUGCAUCUUUUUCGUUUUCCAACAAACUCGGUUGAAUACUGCUAUUAACGACUCUACUCUCAACUUUCUACGUUGAAAUUACUCAUAUAGUUUGGAGAAAGACACACCUUUGGAUUAACGGAAUCACUGAGAUUAAAUUUUUGCUGAAAGUAACAUAAGAAAAAUAAAUCAACUAACUGAAUUCAAUCUAUUCUGAAAUUUAAAAUUCAGCAACUCGGUGUUUGGUCAUGUCUUCAAAAAGAUCGUAGAAAAUGUUUAUGCAACGUAUCAGUAUUGGGAAAGCAUUCAUUAUUUUGUGAUAAUGGGCAAACUGUUCUUCAACGGAUCCUUUUUGAACAAACUAAAAAUUUUCUAUCCACGUGGCGAACCAGUUUUGUUGACAGAGCAGAUCAUUAAUCAAUAUUUAGAGUAUAAUGUUCUUUAGAUCAGCUGCUUCGAAAUUUAAAUGUGAGAAGAUUUGUAUGCAUAUCGUCACAUGGAAAGAAAAGCCGACUUAGAUUGCAUAAUGGAUAUAUUUUAUGCAGAGUUGUUAACAUUUCGUUAAUUCACUCCUCCGACAUUAGCCGAGUUUCGAACAUUUCCAAUGAAAAUUGAUGGAAAUACUACUUAUACAGUCUCUGUAAGAUCAUAUUCGGAAUUAAUUUAUAAUUUUUCCAAUAAUGCAUAUAAUCAAUAUAAUUUGAAACACGGAAAAUAGCGUUGUUAUAACUUAAAAAAGUUUCUUCUACUUGAUUAAAGCAAAUUUCCGGCCUUAAACAAAAUAUGUUUUCAUACCAUUCACCUAUUUCUUUACUACCCACAAGGGGCUAAACACAGAGAAAACAAACAAGGACAGACAAACAGAAUAAGUCGAUUAUAUCGACCCCAGUGCAUAACUAGUACUUAUUUAAUCGACCCCGAAAGCAAGAAAGGCAAAGUCGACCUCAGCGGAAUUUGAACUCAGAACGUGACCGUAGACGAAAUACCACUAAGCAUUUCGCCCGUCGUGCUAACGUUUCUACCAGCUCGCCGCCUUUUGAUGCCAUUCACCUAUUUGUCUGUGCUUCUUAUUUCUUUCAAACAAUUCAGACCUCAGCUAGCAUACAUUUAAUUUAAAACAUGUCUCCCAAGUGCCACUCUACACGUUCGUUUCUAAUAUUAGACUAAAAAGCAACAUUGAGCAGUGAAUUAAAAACUUCAGUAGUCAGACAAUAUCUAUAGCAAUAUCGAGCUUCGUCUCUUUAAAUUUUGAGUUCAAAUCCCGUCAUCAGAGUUAACUUUGUCUUUAAUCUUUUGGAGUCGAUUAAAUAAGGUGCCCGCUAAAUACUGGGAUCGAUAUAAACGACUCUACCCGAAAAUAUAUGAGCUUGUGUUUAUGUUAAAAGUCAAUAUGAUAAAAAUUCCUGGUAUUCUAUAAGGAUUGCUUAACGAAUGACUGUGACAUUCUAACUUCUUUUGUUGCAUUAGCGUAGACUAGAAUAGAAACUUGACCGUAAAUUAAUCACACUGAACUUAACUGUAAGAUAUGCGUUAAUUUUAAAUUGUUCAAGGCCUGUUAUUUUCUUCUCCAGUCUGUUUAUCUUUCUCUUCUCUCAUCAUUUUGCAAAUGUCGCUGUUUCUCUUUAAGUCUGCUUUGCGUUUAUAAGCAUGGGCUUAAGUUCCUCCUGACAGUACUGCGACGGACAAAAUACCUUAUAACUUUUAGUUAUGGUUCUUUACUUAGCUCAAAUCUCAACAGUAUGAACUUGGCCUUUUAGCCUUCCAGCAUCAGUAAAAUAAAGCCUCAGGCAUAUACUGGAGUCAUUCUUAUCCGCUUUACUCUCCCCUACAUUUUUUGGGUGACACCUACCUGUUAGAAAUGAAUAGGAAAAACUAGUGCCUAUCUGGAGGGAUUCCAUGAGUCAUUCUCAUAUUAAAAUCAAUAUCACAUUACAAUUUGUAAUAUCUAUUUAAAUGGGUAUUUUCAGAGGAAGAGAAUGACUGGUGAGUUGUGAUAUAGAAGGUAGAAAAGAAGAGUUUGAAAAAUGUUAGAAAUGGUGAACAAGAAAGAGACAGUGGAAGAAAAAGAAAAAUCAAGUAGUGUUAAUAGAGGCCAUCUGUAAUGAAAAGAAAGGAAAGAGAAAAAAAGGACAGUUUGAGAAAGACAAAUAAAAAGUUAGAAAUUAAGCUGCAAAAGACAACGCGACUUUAUGACGAAGUGAAAGGUGAAAGCGAUAAAAACAAGGAGGAAGCAGGGAAAAUAGAUAAUGUGAUAAAAAUAAAUGAGAGAUAAUUGACAG